AGGUAUCCCCCUUUCCCUACACAACUGACUAGGUAUCCCCUUUUCCCUAUACAACUGACUAGGUAUCCCCCUUUCCCUAUACAACUGACUAGGUCUCCCCCUUUCCCUAUACAACUGACUAGGUAUCCCCCUUUCCCUAUACAACUGACUAGGUAUCCCCCUUUCCCUAUACAACUGACUAGGUCUCCCCCUUUCCCUUAUCAGGGAUCUAACGUGUAGUUCUUCAAAGGGACAUCUGGGUAGAUAGUAGAAUACAGCUUGGCGUACUGUAUGUUUUAAUAUAUUAUGUGUAUGACAUUUAGCAGACACUUUUCCAAAGCAACAUACAUUUCUACGUAUGGGUGGACCUGGGAAUCGAACCCACAAUCCUACUGUUGCAAUCGACAUGCUCUGUCAACUGAGCCAUACAGAACCAGCUUGUUAUAUUGUAGGUUCAGACAGGACCAGUUUGUUAUAAUGUAGGUUCAGACAGGACCAGUUUGUUAUAAUGUAGGUUCAGACAGGACCAGUUUGUUAUAUUGUAGGUUCAGACAGGACCAGUUUGUUAUAUUGUAGGUUCAGACAGGACCAGUUUGUUAUAUUGUAGGGUCAUACAGGACCAGUUUGUUAUAAUGUAGGUUCAGACAGGACCAGUUUGUUAUAAUGUAGGUUCAGACAGGACCAGUUUGUUAUAUUGUAGGUUCAGACAGGACCAGUUUGUUAUAAUGUAGGUUCAUACAGGACCAGUUUGUUAUCGUUUUGGUUCAUGCCUUUUUGUUCAUACAUAGAUGUGUACAAGUAGUGUGUGUGUGUGUGUGUUCGGGUGUCAGGAAAUUGAGCUCAGCAGGGCUCUGCGUGCCAGUCCUCAGUCCUAGCCUGUGGCUGGUGUCCUGGUGUCAGCAGCAGGAGGAAAUCCUCUGACAGAUCAGCUCCCUGCAGCAGGGAAGAGGCCAGGCCACAGGGUGUGUGUAUGUGUGUGUGUGUGUUGACAGAUCAGCUCUCUGAAGCAGGGAAGAGGCCAGGCCACAGGGUGUGUGUAUGUGUGUGUGUGUGUUGACAGAUCAGCUCUCUGAAGCAGGGAAGAGGGAAGA
ensembl:lncRNA